UGGGGAAUUUUGGACAAUGGGGGAAACCCUGAUCCAGCCAUCCCGCGUGUGCGAUGAAGGCCUUCGGGUUGUAAAGCACUUUUGGCAGGAAAGAAACGUCAUGGGUUAAUACCCCGUGAAACUGACGGUACCUGCAGAAUAAGCACCGGCUAACUACGUGCCAGCAGCCGCGGUAAUACGUAGGGUGCAAGCGUUAAUCGGAAUUACUGGGCGUAAAGCGUGCGCAGGCGGUUCGGAAAGAAAGAUGUGAAAUCCCAGAGCUCAACUUUGGAACUGCAUUUUUAACUCCCGGGCUAGAGUGUGUCAGAGGGAGGUGGAAUUCCGCGUGUAGCAGUGAAAUGCGUAGAUAUGCGGAGGAACACCGAUGGCGAAGGCAGCCUCCUGAGAUAACACUGACGCUCAUGCACGAAAGCGUGGGGAGCAAACAGG
rnacentral:rRNA from 1 species